rnacentral:rRNA from 1 species
AAACGACCUCAGUUCGGACGAGAUCACCCGCUAAACUUAAGCAUAUCGCUAAGCGGAGGAAAAGAAACUAACAAGGAUUCCCUUAGUAGCGGCGAGCGAACAGGGAAGAGCCCAGCGCCGAAUCCCACGGUCCGAAAGGACCGUUCGGGAAAUGUGGCGUUAAGGAGGAUCCGCAAACCCCGGAGUUGCGCGAGGCGAGUCAAAGUCCUUCUUGAAAGAGGCCGAUCCACCCGUAGAGGGUGCCAGGCCCGUAGGACCGCCUUCCGACGACGGGUCGGAUCUCUCCCUAGAGUCGGGUUGCUCGAGAUUGCAGCCCUAAGCAGGUGGUAAACUCCAUCUAAGGCUAAAUACGACCACGAGACCGAUAGCGAACAAGUACCGCGAGGGAAAGUUGAAAAGAACUUUGAAGAGAGAGUUCAAGAGUACGUGAAACCGUUCAGGGGUGAACCUGAGAAACCCGAAAGGUCGAAAGCCGAGAUACAGCGUUCGUCCGCACCGUUAUGUCGUCGAUCGAAUCGUCUUUCCGAUACGGGAGAUCUUUCGAGGCGCGACGCGGCGACGUGCACUUUUCGGCGAGUAGGACGUCGCGACCCGUUGGGUACUCGUAGCCGUCGCUUUACGGGAACGUGCGGGAAGCUCGGAAAAACGAAACGGGCGUUUAGCUCGUCCAGUUCUCCGAACCCGUCUGCGUUCUCUCUGCGUUCGGCACGCCCGACGCGAUGUAAUCUUUAACGUUCCGACAGGCGGAGCGCUCAAGGCGCGUCCGUCCCGUUCGCGUUCGACGGACCGCGUUCGGUACCGGUAGAUUCGGCGGCCUACGGUCGUCGACUCCGGGAAAGGCCGGUUCCGACGCGACGGUGUUCUCGGACGGCCCUUUACGGGUCGCCUCCGCCGUCGGUCAGCGACGCUAUUGCUUUGGGUAAUCUCAGGACCCGUCUUGAAACACGGACCAAGGAGUCCAACGUGAGCGCGAGUCAAUGGGCGCAUAAUAGAAACCCAAAGGCGAAGCGAAAGCGAAGUACGGAUCGUGCGUUUCGGCGCGCCUUCCGUCCGUUGGGAGGAUGGGUGACCUUUUUAAGGAUCGCCCCGCACUCCCGGGGCGUCUCGCAACUGUAUCGGAGCGCGCUGUCGGUUCGGUUUCGGCCGGACCGCACCCUUCGGUACCGGAGACGCACCUCUAGCGCUCACGCUGGGACCCGAAAGAUGGUGAACUAUGCCUGGUCAGGACGAAGUCAGGGGAAACCCUGAUGGAGGUCCGCAGCGAUUCUGACGUGCAAAUCGAUCGUCAGAACUGGGUAUAGGGGCGAAAGACCAAUCGAACCGUCUAGUAGCUGGUUCCCUCCGAAGUUUCCCUCAGGAUAGCUGGCGCUCGCAUCUAGAGAGUCUCAUGCGGUAAAGCGAAUGAUUAGAGCGAAUCGGGGUCGAAACGACCUCUACCUAUUCUCAAACUUUAAAUGUGUGAGAUCUCCGGCUUGCCCGAUUAACGAAGCCGCGAGAUCGGAUCUAGAGUGCCAAGUGGGCCAAUUUUGGUAAGCAGAACUGGCGCUGUGGGAUGAACCAAACGCAAAGUUAAAGCGCUUAAAUCGACGCUCAUGGGAAACCAUGAAAGGCGUUGGUAACUCAGGACAGCAGGACGGUGACCAUGGAAGUCGGAAUCCGCUAAGGAGUGUGUAACAACUCACCUGCCGAAGUUACCAGCCCUGAAAAUGGAUAGCGCUCAAGCGUCGUGCUUAUACUUUGCCGUCGGCGGCAUGCGUGUAUUCGCAAACAGAUGCCCCGACGAGUAGGGGGGUCGCGACGGUGAGCGCAGAAGGAUUGGGCGUGAGCCCGUCUGGAGCCGCCGUCGGCGCAGAUCUUGGUGGUAGUAGCAAAUACUUCAGUGAGCACCUGGAGGACUGAGGUGGAGAAGGGUUUCGUGUGAACAGCAGUUGCACACGAGUCAGUCGAUCCUAAGCCGCUAGGCGAAAGCCGAUGCUGAUGGGGCGCCGACCUAAGUCAUCGUUAACACAAUGAAACAUCGUACGACAUCGUAGAGCGUGCAGAGGGCGCUGCGCGAAAGAGAGUGAGAGAGAGCGCGCGCGCGCGUAUCGAAGCUUGCAAUCGUCGAAUGUGGGGGUGUAACUUUCCCCGCCGCGCCAGUAGGCCGGCGUGUGUUGAUAGUUCAUCUCUAUUUAUACGUCGAUGCUCUUUAUACGCGCACGCGCGCCAUCGCGCUCGGCAGCAGCUUCCCGCUCUAUUCGUAGUCGUCGAGCGCUUCGUUAAUGAAAUACAGUCGCGCCCCUAGGGCGAAAGGGAAUGCGGUUCCUAUUCCGCAACCCGGCAACGGAACCGCCAUUAUUCGGGCCCUCAUUGAGAGUUCGUCUGGGUAACCUAACACGACCCGGAGACGCCGUCGGGAGGUCCGGGAAGAGUUUUCUUUUCUGCAUGAGCGUUCGAGAUCCAUGGAAGCCCAUAGCGGGGAGAUAUGGUUCGGAACGCGAAGAGCACUGCAAUUGCUGCA